CCUACGGGUGGCAGCAGUAGGGAAUCUUCCACAAUGGACGAAAGUCUGAUGGAGCAACGCCGCGUGAGUGAAGAAGGCUUUCGGCUCGUAAAGCUCUGUUGGUAGUGAAGAAAGAUAGAGGUAGUACUUGGCCUUUAUUUGACGCUACUUACUUACAAAGUCCCGGCUAACUACGUGCCAGCAGCCGCGGUAAUACGUAGGUGGCAAGCGUUGUCCGGAUUUAUUGGGCGUAAAGCGAGUGCAGGCGGUACAAUAAGUCUGAUGUGAAAGCCUUCGGCUCAACCGGAGAAUUGCAUCAGAAACUGUUGAACUGGAGUGCAGAAGAGGAGGGUGGAACUCCAUGUGUAGCGGUGGAAUGCGUAGAUAUAUGGAAGAACACCAGUGGCGAAGGCGGCUCGCUGGACUGCAACUGACGCUGAGGCGCGAAAGCAUGGGUAGCGAACAGGAUUAGAUACCCGUGUAGUC
rnacentral:rRNA from 1 species